GAUCCUGGCUCAGGAUGAACGCUAGCUACAGGCUUAACACAUGCAAGUCGAGGGGAAACGAUAGAGAAAGCUUGCUUUUUUCUAGGCGUCGACCGGCGCACGGGUGAGUAACGCGUAUCCAACCUGCCCACCACUUGGGGAUAACCUUGCGAAAGUAAGACUAAUACCCAAUGACGUCUCUAGAAGACAUCUGAAAGAGAUUAAAGAUUUAUCGGUGAUGGAUGGGGAUGCGUCUGAUUAGCUUGUUGGCGGGGUAACGGCCCACCAAGGCGACGAUCAGUAGGGGUUCUGAGAGGAAGGUCCCCCACAUUGGAACUGAGACACGGUCCAAACUCCUACGGGAGGCAGCAGUGAGGAAUAUUGGUCAAUGGACGAGAGUCUGAACCAGCCAAGUAGCGUGCAGGAUGACGGCCCUAUGGGUUGUAAACUGCUUUUAUAAGGGAAUAAAGUGAGUCUCGUGAGACUUUUUGCAUGUACCUUAUGAAUAAGGACCGGCUAAUUCCGUG
rnacentral:rRNA from 1 species